GUAGGACGGUCAAUUGUAGUUGCUUCCGAUCGCAUUGCAUUAUUGGUUACUAGGGGAGGCUAGGGAUAGCAAGCCAGUAAUUAAUAAUAGGCUCUUUUCACCAAGGGAUUGGGUUAAGGGUAAAUAAGAAAGUGUGCAUGGCAAUUAGAUAAAUAAGUGAAGUAAAUAAGAAGAGUAGAUAUAUGAGAGUGGAUAAGAUGAAAUUGUAAACCCCAACAACACCAUUCAUCCAUAGUUUCUCAAAACC
rnacentral:lncRNA from 1 species